rnacentral:rRNA from 1 species
GCGGCGGACGGGUGAGUAACACGUGGGUAACCUGCCCAUAAGACUGGGAUAACUCCGGGAAACCGGGGCUAAUACCGGAUAAUAUUUUGAACUGCAUGGUUCGAAAUUGAAAGGCGGCUUCGGCUGUCACUUAUGGAUGGACCCGCGUCGCAUUAGCUAGUUGGUGAGGUAACGGCUCACCAAGGCAACGAUGCGUAGCCGACCUGAGAGGGUGAUCGGCCACACUGGGACUGAGACACGGCCCAGACUCCUACGGGAGGCAGCAGUAGGGAAUCUUCCGCAAUGGACGAAAGUCUGACGGAGCAACGCCGCGUGAGUGAUGAAGGCUUUCGGGUCGUAAAACUCUGUUGUUAGGGAAGAACAAGUGCUAGUUGAAUAAGCUGGCACCUUGACGGUACCUAACCAGAAAGCCACGGCUAACUACGUGCCAGCAGCCGCGGUAAUACGUAGGUGGCAAGCGUUAUCCGGAAUUAUUGGGCGUAAAGCGCGCGCAGGUGGUUUCUUAAGUCUGAUGUGAAAGCCCACGGCUCAACCGUGGAGGGUCAUUGGAAACUGGGAGACUUGAGUGCAGAGAGGAAGUGG